rnacentral:rRNA from 1 species
GAUGAACGCUGGCGGCGUGCUUAAUACAUGCAAGUCGAACGGAAAGGCUCCUGCUUUCCUGUUUACUCAAGUGUCGAACGGGGGAGUGUCACGUGUAGGAUCUGUCCUUCACUUCGGGGUAAGCCUGUGAAACUCGGUCUAAUACCGGACAUGACGAUGGGUGAGAUGCCAUUUUGGAAUGUGUUUCGGUGUUGGAUGAGCUCGCGGUCUAUCAGCUUGUUGUUGGGGUGAUGGUGUACCAAGGCGUCGACGGGUAGCCGGCCUGAGAGGGUGUACGGCCACAUUGGGACUGAGGUACGGGCAAGACUGCUACGGGAGGCAGCAGUGGGGAAUAGUGCACAAUGGGCGGAAGCAUGAUGCAGCGACGCCGGGUGGGGGAUGACGGCCUUAAGGUUAUAACCUCCUUUCGCUAGGGAAGAAGAGACAGUGACGGUACCUGGAGAAGAAGAACCGGCUAACUACGUG